AUGUUUCCUCUGGCAUUUAUUUCCCUGCCUGGCACUUAUCACUGUUUGGUGUCAUCCAAUUCAUCCUUCUAUCCAUCCAUUCAUUUGCUGCUUACUUACUGUUUUCAUUUUCUUGCUACAGACUAUAAGUCACAGGAAAGUUGGAGACCGCCUUUGUCUCAUCCACUCUUAUGUCUUGAGCAUUUAGAACAGUGCCUGAGACUGUUCAGAAGCUAUCCAGGGCUCUAUGAUGGCUUCCUGUUUGUCCAGAAUGAUCUUCUUGCUCCUCCAUCCUUAGCUCUGCCUUAUGGUCCAAGAGCACUGAGCACCAGACAUCCCAAGCAACAGGAAGGAGGAAGGAGAAAGAAGGGGGUGCCCUCACCUGUGAAAGGAGACAUCCCUGAAGGCCCACAAGGUUCUUCCCUCGACUACGCUGUUACAAAAGUGGAGGCUGACACGACAUCUUUCAGUACAUAGAGGCCAUGUACCACAACCGGUUCUGGUUUUAUUGCCUCCUACUAGCUGGAAUUCAGGGCAAAAAAAGCAAGCCACUGAUUUAUGGGAGUUCAGCAGUUUGCAAGGCAGAAUUGAGAGGUGGUGUUGGCCAGUCAGUUUGUUGACAAAGUCUACUAGCCAGACCAAGAGACUGCCUGCUUGAGGCCAGUGGUGGCACAGCAAAGACAUAAGAUGCUGGAAUUUAGGACUUUCACUGCAGAGAAGAUCUGAGUGGGACCAGAUUCUGGUUUGCCACCCUGAGAGUGGUGGCCAAGAACAGGGACAAGGAUCUCCAGAUCCCCAGGGCUGGAGUGUUGGGUGGGUCAACCAGACAAUGAAAGGACACAUGACAGAGAGAAGAUUAAAAUUUUAUAAAAAUCUCUUCACCUAAAUGAAUUCACACAUCAAUAGCAGAAUGCAGAAGGUUGUCAGAUAUUUACCACAACUGAUCUGUUCAAUGGAGAUCAUGUGGCAGGUUGGACUUGUGUUGCAAUUAAAAUAUUGCUGUCCAGCUUUCUUUACGCUCCUCUCCAUUCCCUUCCUUACUGUUUGGUUUGUUCAGAGUGAGGGGGUUCCCUUGACAGGACCAUUCUGGUCACGGAGCAUGGAUUUUGGUCACCUGGUUUUUAUCUUGGUCGAUCGAAUUCCAUAAAAGCUAAAUAUUUUGUAUCUGCAAUUAAGAAGACCCCUUUGGGGCAGCCUGGGUGGCUCAGUGGUUUAGCGCUGCUUUCAGCCCAGGAUGUGGUCCUGGAGUCCUGGGAUCGAGUCCCAUGUCGGGCUCCCUGCAUGGAGCCUGCUUCUCCCUCUGCCUGUGUCUCCGCCUCUCUCUGUGUCUCUCAUGAAUAAAUAAGUAAAAACCUUAAAAAAAAAAAGACCC
rnacentral:lncRNA from 1 species